rnacentral:rRNA from 1 species
GGGUUGUGAGGUUAAGCGACUAAGCGUACACGGUGGAUGCCCUGGCAGUCAGAGGCGAUGAAGGACGUGCUAAUCUGCGAUAAGCGCCGGCGAGGUGAUAUGAACCUUUGACCCGGCGAUUUCCGAAUGGGGAAACCCAGUGUGUUCCGACACACUAUCGUUAAGUGAAUACAUAGCUUAACGAAGCGAACCGGGGGAACUGAAACAUCUAAGUACCCCGAGGAAAAGAAAUCAACCGAGAUUCCCCCAGUAGCGGCGAGCGAACGGGGAGCAGCCCAGAGUCUGAAUCAGCUUGUGUGUUAGUGGAAGCGUCUGGAAAGUCGCACGGUACAGGGUGAUAGUCCCGUACACGAAAGCACACAUGCUGUGAACUCGAAGAGUAGGGCGGGACACGUGGUAUCCUGUCUGAAUAUGGGGGGACCAUCCUCCAAGGCUAAAUACUCCUGACUGACCGAUAGUGAACCAGUACCGUGAGGGAAAGGCGAAAAGAACCCCGGCGAGGGGAGUGAAAAAGAACCUGAAACCGUGUACGUACAAGCAGUGGGAGCCUACUUGUUAGGUGACUGCGUACCUUUUGUAUAAUGGGUCAGCGACUUAUAUUCUGUAGCAAGGUUAACCGUAUAGGGGAGCCGAAGGGAAACCGAGUCUUAACUGGGCGUUAAGUUGCAGGGUAUAGACCCGAAACCCGGUGAUCUAGCCAUGGGCAGGUUGAAGGUUGGGUAACACUAACUGGAGGACCGAACCGACUAAUGUUGAAAAAUUAGCGGAUGACUUGUGGCUGGGGGUGAAAGGCCAAUCAAACCGGGAGAUAGCUGGUUCUCCCCGAAAGCUAUUUAGGUAGCGCCUCGUGAACUCAUCUUCGGGGGUAGAGCACUGUUUCGGCUAGGGGGCCAUCCCGGCUUACCAACCCGAUGCAAACUACGAAUACCGAAGAAUGUUAUCACGGGAGACACACGGCGGGUGCUAACGUCCGUCGUGAAGAGGGAAACAACCCAGACCGCCAGCUAAGGUCCCAAAGUCAUGGUUAAGUGGGAAACGAUGUGGGAAGGCACAGACAGCCAGGAUGUUGGCUUAGAAGCAGCCAUCAUUUAAAGAAAGCGUAAUAGCUCACUGGUCGAGUCGGCCUGCGCGGAAGAUGUAACGGGGCUAAACCAUGCACCGAAGCUGCGGCAGCGACGCUUAUGCGUUGUUGGGUAGGGGAGCGUUCUGUAAGCCGUUGAAGGUGUCCUGUGAGGGGUGCUGGAGGUAUCAGAAGUGCGAAUGCUGACAUAAGUAACGAUAAUGCGGGUGAAAAGCCCGCACGCCGGAAGACCAAGGGUUCCUGUCCAACGUUAAUCGGGGCAGGGUGAGUCGACCCCUAAGGCGAGGCCGAAAGGCGUAGUCGAUGGGAAACAGGUUAAUAUUCCUGUACUUGGUGUUACUGCGAAGGGGGGACGGAGAAGGCUAUGUUAGCCGGGCGACGGUUGUCCCGGUUUAAGCAUGUAGGCGGGAGUUUUAGGUAAAUCCGGAACUCUU